rnacentral:rRNA from 1 species
GAUGAACGCUGGCGGCGUGCCUAAUACAUGCAAGUCGAGCGAACGGACGAGAAGCUUGCUUCUCUGAUGUUAGCGGCGGACGGGUGAGUAACACGUGGAUAACCUACCUAUAAGACUGGGAUAACUUCGGGAAACCGUAGCUAAUACCGGAUAAUAUUUUGAACCGCAUGGUUCAAAAGUGAAAGACGGUCUUGCUGUCACUUAUAGAUGGAUCCGCGCUGCAUUGGCUAGUUGGUAAGGUAACGGCUUACCAAGGCAACGAUGCAUAGCCGACCUGAGAGGGUGAUCGGCCACACUGGAACUGAGACACGGUCCAGACUCCUACGGGAGGCAGCAGUAGGGAAUCUUCCGCAAUGGGCGAAAGCCUGACGGAGCAACGCCGCGUGAGUGAUGAAGGCCUUCGGAUCGUAAAACUCUGUUAUUAGGGAAGAACAUAUGUGUAAGUAACUGUGCACAUCUUGACGGUACCUAAUCAGAAAGCCACGGCUAACUACGUG